ensembl:lncRNA
GGGGAGAACCACAUCUCAUUUACUCACAGCCUGGGCUCGGUCAUUAUCUCCUGGAAGCUGUGAAUACUUUACUGGGAUGCACUGGAGGUAGCAAAACUACUGAACACUUUUGCACUUAGAAUUGUUUUGCACACAUUUGUACUUUUUAAGAAACACAAGUUCUCCAUUCCACUAUGUUGUCAUCUUCCCACUCACAAAGGACAACCAAACGCCCCCGAUACUUCUUCCAAUGGCAACUAUUAGGAAUCAACUCUGAUGCAAAUCAACUUCUCACCGCAUUUCAGAUUUUCAGAAAUGUAGUUUUUAAAGUAGUUUAUCAGAUAAGUACCGCUUCAGGUAAAAUCACCAAAACACUAUUUUCCUUUGGUAGUACUCACAAGGACAGUUUGUUUUUAAAGUGCUCUGGAAUAUUUUCAACGUAGCACCUGCUGUUUACAUAAUGCUGGAAGGGAGUCAUUAACAAGCUGGUCUGUACCAGAAAAUACUAAUAAGCCCCGACUGUGCAGCAUGUCCGGUUGGAAGCGGAGAACCGACAAGGGGUGGUCUGGCCCUCCCCCUCUUGCAGGGCUGGAGCUCCUUCUGGGUGACAUCCUCCAGUGAUCAGGAGGGCGGAAGUCUUGGUGACACAAACAGACCAACAAAGCGUCUACACCCGGAGUUCUCCCUGCCCGUGUUCAGGUGGGGGCUGGUGCAGGAGAGCAGCUUCUGAAGAGCUGCGGUCUUUCCCUAGGAACCAUUCUUUAUGAAUGAUAACCGCCAUUCCUCCUCCGCCUUGGCGCUGUCUAGCUUACAUAGAAGUCUCCAGGGGCACAGGACCACGAGGACGUCGGGUCAGAACUGCCUGGGGUGGCUUUUUGGACCUGAGCUCGGGGCUCGGGGCUCAUGCAGAAUGUCCCCUCCUCCCCAGGAACCUCUUCUGGCCCUCAGCUCCUGGGCUCGGAGGGGUCUGUAGCCAGGGCGACCACCUGGUUCCAGAAAAUGUUGAAGAACUUGAGCAUGAGGGAUAAAGCUGUCGGGCUGUGAUUUCUAGAGCAUCGAACACGGGAACUUGCUCUUUAAGAGGACGAAUGGAUUGUACCUCGCGUCCACUCUGCCCUUGGGAGUGGCUGCAGUCUAGUGAAACUUCGUCGGUGUGGGACAGCGACGGGAACAGCAGCGGGCCCUGGCUAUCGGGUGGUCUGCCUGCCCUUUGGAUGUGAACAGGCCAGCCGCCCCCCGUCCUGCCCCCUCCUGGAGAGAAUGACCGCAAACUUGGCAAAGGCGGGGACUAGUUUCAUUACCUACAUAUUUCAUGGCAAUAAUCAAACAAAGCCCAAUAAAAUGAUCUUGCCUAAGAAUUACUGAACUACUAGUAAUCUGCCAAAUCUAGUCUAUAAAUCUUCUUUCACACUUUUGUAAAGAGAAAUUUUUGAGGCUGUAUAAGUCGUUAUUGGACUUUUUAAAAAUUCCUUUAGAAAACCUCAGUCCAGUUUAAGGGCGCGUUCUGCAAAUGGAUUUUGUUCAUUUACAUAUAGGCCAAGAAUCCACUGAUCACAGAGCUAGUAAAAGGAACGAGGAUUUCCAUUGAGUUUUGGACACAACCAUUGUACCUCCCUAAAAUAACUUUGUAUUAAUAGCACUGAUAAAAUGUGGGAAAAUAAAUUUUCUUUUAGGUACUAAUUGGAGCCACAGAAUAAACCAGCCUCAUUCUGAUCUUCCGUUUUCAUCGAGCUAAAAAAAGUGCACUGAAAUCCUUGGUAAUUUUCCAGCCCUAGUGUUUCCACUGACUUAAGUUUACAUUCUUCAAGUAGAAGGCUUGUUCCCUUGCUCCUCAGUUUUGUUAAAUUUUGCUUUAUCGCUAGUUGUUUUUCCCGGGCUUCGGCUGUCCAGGGACCUCGGAUCCUUUUUCUUUGUUAUCUCACUCUUUGUUACUCCUGUGCUAACCUAACUUUGAACUCGCCGGCAUCUCUUAGGUUGUUAUUGGUAGAAGGAAGAAAUGCAGCUUUUUGGUUCUGGUAAUAAGGUGUCAUUUUCAAAAGUUCUGUAAAUGCAUCCAUUCUGUAAUUUUGGAAAAUGUGCACUGGGGGGACCCAACCACUUUUUUUUUUUUUUUUUUUAAAGUGAAAGAAUGUUAUGGAAAGGAUUUGUGUUUAGCUCCCUCUGCAACAUUUCUAUAACUUUUUUUUUUUCAGUUAUUACAAAUAAAAUCCUAAAUUUUCC